rnacentral:tRNA from 1 species
AGCAGGAAAACUAUUAAGUGUUAAAUUGUAAGUUUAAAUUAAAGACGGGUCGUCUUCUUGUUA